rnacentral:rRNA from 1 species
CUGAACAAUGUGUGAUAGGGUGGUAGAAUUCAGGUGUACGGUGAAAUGCGUAGAGAUCUGAAGGAAUCCGAUGGCGAAGGCAGCCACCUGGGUCAACACUGACGCUCAUGUACGAAAGCGUGGGGAGCAAACAGGAUUAGAUACCCUGGUAGUCCACGCCGUAAACGAUGUCUACUAGAAGCUCGGAACCUCGGUUCUGUUUUUCAAACGUAAC